UACGUAGGGUGCAAGCGUUGUCCGGAAUUAUUGGGCGUAAAGGGCUCGUAGGCGGUCCAUCGCGUCGGGAGUGAAAAGCUGGGGCUUAACCCCAGUCCUGCUUCCGAUACGGGUGGACUAGAGGUAGGUAGGGGAGAACGGAAUUCCUGGUGUAGCGGUGAAAUGCGCAGAUAUCAGGAGGAACACCGGUGGCGAAGGCAGCUCACUGGGACGGUAUUGACGCUGAGACGCGAAAGCGUGGGGAGCAAACAGG
rnacentral:rRNA from 1 species